AGGGGUUUAAGUUAAUUAAAACUAAUAGCCUUCAAAGCUUUAAAUAAAAAUGAGAGGUUUUUAACCCCUG